GUGAACUGAGGCUUCGGCCGACGGGAACGGUUUUACAGUGGCGAAAGGGUGAGUAACGCGUAAGUAAUCUACUUCCGAUUGCGGGAUAACGCUUCGAAAGGGGUGCUAAUACCGCAUAAUACCCUCCGGCGGCAUCGCUGGAGGAUCAAAGAUGUUUUGAUUAUUCAAGAUGUCGAUCAGGGAUGAGCUUGCGUCCUAUUAGCUUGUUGGUAGGGUAAUGGCCUACCAAAGCUUUGAUGGGUAGCUGGUCUGAGAGGAUGAUCAGCCACACUGGGACUGAGACACUGCCCAGACUCCUACGGGAGGCUGCAGUCGAGAAUCAUCCGCAAUGGGCGAAAGCCUGACGAAGCGACGCCGCGUGGGCGAUGAAGGCCUUCGGGUUGUAAACUCCUUUCACCCGGGAAGAAAACUCAUCCCGCGAACAACGGGAUGACCUGACGGUACCGGGAGAAGAAGCCCUGGCUAACUCCGUGCCAGCAGCCGCGGUAAUACGGAGAGGGCGAGCGUUGUCCGGAUU
rnacentral:rRNA from 1 species